rnacentral:rRNA from 1 species
CCUACGGGGGGCAGCAGUGGGGAAUAUUGGACAAUGGGGGGAACCCUGAUCCAGCCAUGCCGCGUGUGUGAAGAAGGCCCUCGGGUUGUAAAGCACUUUCAGUGAGGAAGAACGCCUGGUGGUUAAUACCCAUCAGGAAAGACAUCACUCACAGAAGAAGCACCGGCUAACUCCGUGCCAGCAGCCGCGGUAAUACGGAGGGUGCGAGCGUUAAUCGGAAUUACUGGGCGUAAAGCGCGCGUAGGUGGCUUGAUAAGCCGGUUGUGAAAGCCCCGGGCUCAACCUGGGAACGGCAUCCGGAACUGUCAAGCUAGAGUGCAGGAGAGGAAGGUAGAAUUCCCGGUGUAGCGGUGAAAUGCGUAGAGAUCGGGAGGAAUACCAGGCGAAGGCGGCCUUCUGGACUGACACUGACACUGAGGUGCGAAAGCGUGGGUAGCAAACAGGAUUAGAUACCCCUGUAGUC